rnacentral:rRNA from 1 species
UGCCAGCCGCCGCGGUAAUACGGAGGGAGCAAACGUUGUUCGGAUUUACUGGGUGUAAAGGGUGCGUAGGCGGACUGGUAUGUCAGAGGUGAAAUGCUGCGGCUCAACCGUAGCACUGCCUUUGAAACUGCCAGCCUUGAGUCCGUGAGAGGAAGGUGGAAUUCCUGGUGUAACGGUGAAAUGUGCAGAUAUCAGGAAGAACACCCAUUGCGAAGGCAGCCUUCUGGCACGGUACUGACGCUGAGGCACGAAAGCUAGGGUAUCGAACGGGAUUAGAUA